CCAGACUCCUACGGGAGGCAGCAGUGGGGGAUAUUGCACAAUGGGGGGAACCCUGAUGCAGCGACGCCGCGUGGGUGAAGAAGCGCCUCGGCGCGUAAAGCCCUGUCAGCAGGGAAGAAAAUGACGGUACCUGACUAAGAAGCCCCGGCUAACUACGUGCCAGCAGCCGCGGUAAUACGUAGGGGGCAAGCGUUAUCCGGAUUUACUGGGUGUAAAGGGAGCGUAGACGGCUGUGCAAGCCAGAUGUGAAAGCCCGGGGCUCAACCCCGGGACUGCAUUUGGAACUGUGUGGCUGGAGUGUCGGAGAGGCAGGCGGAAUUCCUAGUGUAGCGGUGAAAUGCGUAGAUAUUAGGAGGAACACCAGUGGCGAAGGCGGUCUGCUGGACAGCAACUGACGCUGAGGCGCGGAAGCGUGGGGAGCAAACAGGAUUAGAUACCCCUGUAC
rnacentral:rRNA from 1 species